UUCUUAAUUAUAUAUGUACAUUGUAUGAUAAAUAUCAGUAAUAUAUGAUGCAUACAGGUCAUGACCAGAACUAAAAAUUAUUAAUAAAAUGUCUUUACAUAUUUUUUUUAGAAUGUCCAUAUAUAUUAAAAGGGAUUGUUCAUGGUGAAGGUACAAAGCUGCAAAAAUGAUGACUGUGCAUCGAUCAAUACCCAAUCAAUAAUAUGAAAACACGAUGAAAACAAACGAAUCAGCAGCAGAAAAGAAAUUUGAGUAUAAGAUUAUUGAAAGAUUAAUCAAUGAACAUGAUGAAGACUUAAUGGAACAGGAUUGGAAUGCAGAAACUUUGGACUUAAUUCAUGAAUAACAUCAAUGGAUGAUGAAGAAAACUGAACAAACUGACAAAGUAUUUCGUAUGCAUGUAAACUGGACAUUUUUGUUUGUUUAAUGCACAAUAAACAAAUUUGUAAAAUUGAAAAUUAAAACAUUUGUGAAAGAUUUCAAGAGGACCAAAAGUUACCAUGGACUUAUGAAUGAUUUAACCAGAAAAAUGAUUUACAUGUACAAUUAAGUAAAUACAUCUUUGACUAAAAAAUGAUAAUUUAUCAACAUUAAUAUUUUAAAGAGGUUGAUCUUUUCAUUUAAAAGGUCUUAAAUGUGGAUAAUGUAUAAACUGUUGUAAUUUCUUUAAUUGUUGACUUGCAUUAAAAUGGUUAUUGUCUUA